GAUGAACGCUAGCGGCAGGCUUAACACAUGCAAGUCGAGGGGUAGAGGUUGCUUGCAACCUUGAGACCGGCGCACGGGUGCGUAACGCGUAUGCAACCUACCUUUUACAGAGGGAUAGCCCAGAGAAAUUUGGAUUAAUACCUCAUAGUAUAUAUCUUUCGCAUGUUAGGUAUAUUAAAGUUCCAACGGUAAAAGAUGGGCAUGCGUCCUAUUAGCUAGAUGGUAAGGUAACGGCUUACCAUGGCUACGAUAGGUAGGGGUCCUGAGAGGGAGAUCCCCCACACUGGUACUGAGACACGGACCAGACUCCUACGGGAGGCAGCAGUGAGGAAUAUUGGACAAUGGGCGCAAGCCUGAUCCAGCCAUGCCGCGUGCAGGAAGAAGCAUCUAUGGUGUGUAAACUGCUUUUGUACAGGAAGAAACAUCCCGACGUGUCGGGACUUGACGGUACUGUAAGAAUAAGGAUCGGCUAACUCCGUGCCAGCCGCCGCAGUAACAC
rnacentral:rRNA from 1 species